rnacentral:rRNA from 1 species
CAGCAGCCGCGGGAAUACGAAGGGGGCUAGCGUUGCUCGGAAUCACUGGGCGUAAAGGGUGCGUAGGCGGGUCUUUAAGUCAGGGGUGGAAUCCUGGAGCUCAACUCCAGAACUGCCUUUGAUACUGAAGAUCUUGAGUUCGGGAGAGGUGAGUGGAACUGCGAGUGUAGAGGUGAAAUUCGUAGAUAUUCGCAAGAACACCAGUGGCGAAGGCGGCUCACUGGCCCGAUACCGACGCUGAGGCACGAAAGCGUGGGGAGCAAACAGGAUUAGAGACCCCCGUAGUCCCUGUCUCUUAUAC